rnacentral:rRNA from 1 species
UACGGAGGGUGCAAGCGUUAUCCGGAUUCACUGGGUUUAAAGGGUGCGUAGGUGGUCUGUUAAGUCAGCGGUGAAAGCCUGGAGCUCAACUCCAGAAUUGCCAUUGAUACUGACGGACUUGAAUCAAGUUGAGGUGGAUGGAAUAUUACAUGUAGCGGUGAAAUGCUUAGAUAUGUAAUAGAACACCAAUUGCGAAGGCAGUUCACUAAGCUUGCAUUGACAUUGAGGCACGAAAGCGUGGGGAUCAAACAGG